rnacentral:lncRNA from 10 species
CUUCAUUUAAUUCCAAUUAGUUAAACUUAAGUUUAAACAGCUAUGUGUGGCUAGUGGCUACCAUAUUGUACAGCACAAACCAAGAAGAUGGGGGCGAAUAUUUUUGUGGAAACAAGUUGAUGUGGAAGAAAAGAUGAAUCGUUCCUGUUUGCAGGGAAGCUUAGAGACAGAGGGAAACUCGUGGAAUUGAAGCUUGGAUGCGAUUCCUUUCCCUUCCUCUUCAAAUGACUGAUGAACUUCAUCCUGAGUCGAAUAGUGGAGCUUCUCAGUAUUUCUUCAUUUGAGGUCGAGGGUAAAUUGCCUAUAGUUUCAGUCUGACAGCUACUCACUUAGGACCCAUUUUAACUAAUGAACAGUUUCUGUUUUACUAGUAGUUGAUAACUGUCAGAAGUUUUUUGAAAGGGUCGAAAGAAGAACCCCAGCCAGAUGGGCAGCAGUGUGGAAAAUAUAGAUUGAAAUGGCGUUAGAAAGAGGUCAAAGAAGGUGUAUUUUGGGGGAAUGUAAAAAAAUGAAGUCUGGUAGAAGGAUUUGGGGAAGAACUGACAUGACUAUAUAAUAUGGAGGGUGCAGAGUUUUAUGGCCUUGGACUUUGUCCCUUCAUAUUUGACAGCGAUGUUGACCAUGAUCACUGAUACAAGCAAACCCUUAACAUCUCCUGAUAUUGAAGCAAAUCCUAUCAGCAGGAGAAAGGAAAUGAGUCACUGUGGAGGUGUCCAUUAACUUUUAUAGCCAGUUUGAAAAAACUCUUGUCUUGAGAGCAGCAGGAUUCAUCCCCACUCACUCACCCCACAGUGGGAGACACGUGGCAUGGAACUAACUCUCCUUCUCCACCACUUCAUGAACAACCUAUUAUCUAUUUUCAUGAUAAGCUCUCCAGCUAGAAAGCAUCAGUUGAUUUGCCCAAGAGGCACAAUGGAAGUUCCACUACCAAGAUGUAAAAUAAAAAGCUUUCAUCUCUUAAGGUUUUCAACUCAAACUUAAUUUCCUUCAUGAUUCCUGUCCUAAACCAGCCCCCUCCUCUAUAACAUUUCCCACAGUGUGUGGAAAUUAUUUGCUUAUGGGCCUAAUGUCCUCAAUAAGGUAUCUUUUCUCAAGAACAGAGAUGUGACUUUUCAUAUUUGUCUAUAUGUCUGACACUUCAGUUGUGUUUAAUAAGUGCUCACUAGACAAAUCUCAGUGUAUUGAAAUCCCCAGGAUAGCACUUGACACAUAAUAGGCCCACAAUACAUGUUAGUUUCUUUACUCUAUAUUUUCUUCUAAAGAUUUUCACAGACUAGGUUGAGCUUUUUAUCUCAAUAAUUUAUAUACAUUUUACAGAUGCAUAUGUAGAGGUGUAAAAGGCUAUUAUAAUAGCAGGCACUAUAAUUCUUUUUUAGGGGAAUUGUCUUUGAUAGGGAAAAUACCUUGGUAAGUAAAUUGGGGUGGAAAGUGAGACCCUAAGAAUAUUGAUUAGGAAAAUGCAAGGCAGUAAAACGUACUUAAAUUGUUCUGCUUUUUAGCAAUAAACUUGAAAUUUAAUGGAGGGGAGCAGGAAAAAAGGUGAAGAGAGGGAGAGAAAGGAGACAGCAGAGUAGUAAAGCACUGCAAUGUGUUCCAAAGGGCUUUUAAAAACAUGUCUGUCUAAUAUUAAACUAAAUUUUUGUUUACUCUUUUGUAAAUUGUAAGCGUUCUAAAUUCUGCUAUGUUCACUGAGGCCUUGUAAGAGUGGAGAUUUUGGGUUGCUUUGCUCUUAUUUUUCUAUUAGAAUUUCAAAGUGUUGUGUUUAUUAAAAAGCACAGUAUUAUAUGUAGACCACAAUUUCAUUUUUGUAAAAAAAAUAAGCUGUAUAAGUAUUCACGGGUGUAUUAAUUUGUAUGCAUAGAAAAAUAUGCAAAUCACACUGAUCUGUGAUUAUUCUUGGGGAAUGAGAUGGGAGUGGAAAAAGAGAAGAACUUUGACUUUUUAUGGAAUUUUGUGUUGUUUGAAAAUGCUCACUAGCAUGUUUUAUUUUGUAAUUAGCCAAACAAAUAAAUACAUGAAAUAAUCCCUUUUCCAGCCACCUCACUAGGCUGCUGGGAAGACCAGUUAUGAUAAUCUAUGUGAAAAUUGUUGAAAACUGUAAAGUGCUCUGAAAACUCAGAAGUGCUAUAAACACACAAGGGAUUAUUUAUGUCAUUGAGCAAAAUGACCCAUGACUUUGGUUUCUCAUUUCUUUAUCAUUAAAAUAAGGGAGUUGGACUAGAUGGUUUCUUAAACGCCUGCCAGGUUCACAUUCUCUAUGGUGUAUCUCUGUUCCUUGCUUUUCAAUCACCAAGCUCUCAAAAUCUCAUCCUCCUGCCUUAUGGGCUUCCACAGCAUGUCCUCAGGGCUCACCUGGUCUGUAGCCUUGGGCUUUGUGAGUCCCUG